rnacentral:rRNA from 1 species
AUGGAAGUGAAAUCCAGGGCCAGUUUAAAGGACCCAUCUGUUAACAUUCCUGUUAAAUUUGAUUUCAAUAAGUUUCAGGAGGAUAUUUUUCAAGAAUAUGCUUUGAUCGCCCGGUCCAUGCCAAAUGAUAUAAUCACCCAAGAUCCUACUCCUAAGUCGCUACACGCGGUCUUCUAUGAGCUAUCUCCCCAAUUGUGGCCCAUCUUAGAGAAGGACAGCGUCCGGUGCUUACUCAACUUUUUGGUGAGCAAGCGGGGUAUGACAUGGAAACAUACCAUCACCUCACAAACCUUAACUUACAUGAUCAGUUAUGAUGCCCUACGAUGUGCAAAAGUUAUAUUGGAGGGCAAGGCACCAAGGCUCAAUGGACACCAUGCCAAUCCCAACUGCAUUAACCCAUAUGGAUACUUCCCGCUCCAUGAAGCUGCCGAAAGGUUUUCUGUUGACAUGAUCAAGUUACUCUUUCGUCAUGGUGCAUCAGCCAGUGUACGCACAGUCGGGGAUAACAUCAUUGAGAACCUACUCCCACUCCAUGUUGCGGUCGAAAAUACUUGCCUGCAUAAGUAUUUGGAGGAUAAUUUAUUUCCAUACCAGAACCAUUGGGAUUAUAUCUACAAGAUUAUCCAUCUGCUAUGCAUGCCUGAAAUGAAAAUCUUUUUGGAUACGGUUAGACUGCUAGCAGAAAGAACAGAUAAUCUAGUUGAUGAGAUAUGGAAUUACGUGAAGGAUGGAAAACUUGUCCAGUCUGCAGUUUUACUUCUGUCAGCUCAAGCGCAAAUCCGUGGGGGCUGUUCCUCCAAACGCAACGGCAAUAAUAAGCGUGAUGGGUUUGAUAUUAUCAUGUGCCAUAUAGUGAGACAUUUGGUUACCCUAAGAUCGGAGAACAAAAAUACAAAUACACGGAAGCUGCGUGAGGAAGAGAGAAUAUUUAUGGAGUUUACGGGCCUGCUUGUUGAUAUUGUUUCGCAAGCUGGUGAAGCCCUUUCUGCAUACAUUCAGGCACAUUCAAAGUGUUCAUGCUAA